rnacentral:siRNA from 1 species
GAAUGCAAAGAUAGCCAUGACGAU